rnacentral:rRNA from 1 species
CAGUCCCGCGGUAAUACGGAGGGUGCAAGCGUUAUCCGGAUUUAUUGGGUUUAAAGGGUCCGUAGGCGGACUUAUAAGUCAGUGGUGAAAGCCUGUCGCUUAACGAUAGAACUGCCAUUGAUACUGUAAGUCUUGAGUAUAUUUGAGGUAGCUGGAAUAAGUAGUGUAGCGGUGAAAUGCAUAGAUAUUACUUAGAACACCAAUUGCGAAGGCAGGUUACCAAGAUAUAACUGACGCUGAGGGACGAAAGCGUGGGUAGCGAACAGGAUUAGAUACCCGCGUAGUCCCUGUCUCUUAUACA